rnacentral:rRNA from 1 species
CCUACGGGUGGCUGCAGUGGGGAAUAUUGGACAAUGGGGGGAACCCUGAUCCAGCCAUGCCGCGUGUGUGAAGAAGGCCCUCGGGUUGUAAAGCACUUUCAGUGAGGAAGAACGCCUGGUGGUUAAUACCCAUCAGGAAAGACAUCACUCACAGAAGAAGCACCGGCUAACUCCGUGCCAGCAGCCGCGGUAAUACGGAGGGUACGAGCGUUAAUCGGAAUUACUGGGCGUAAAGCGCGCGUAGGUGGCUUGAUAAGCCGGUUGUGAAAGCCCCGGGCUCAACCUGGGAACGGCAUCCGGAACUGUCAAGCUAGAGUGCAGGAGAGGAAGGUAGAAUUCCCGGUGUAGCGGUGAAAUGCGUAGAGAUCGGGAGGAAUACCAGUGGCGAAGGCGGCCUUCUGGACUGACACUGACACUGAGGUGCGAAAGCGUGGGUAGCAAACAGGAUUAGAUACCCGGGUAGUC